rnacentral:rRNA from 1 species
UACGUAGGGUGCGAGCGUUGUCCGGAAUUAUUGGGCGUAAAAGAGCUCGUAGGCGGCUUGUCGCGUCGGAUGUGAAAGCCCGGGGCUUAACUCCGGGUCUGCAUUCGAUACGGGCAGGCUAGAGUGUGGUAGGGGAGAUCGGAAUUCCUGGUGUAGCGGUGAAAUGCGCAGAUAUCAGGAGGAACACCGGUGGCGAAGGCGGAUCUCUGGGCCAUUACUGACGUGAGGAGCGAAAGCGUGGGGGAGCGAACAGG